GACGAACGCUGGCGGCGUGCCUAAUACAUGCAAGUAGAACGCUGAAGGAGGAGCUUGCUCUUCUGGAUGAGUUGCGAACGGGUGAGUAACGCGUAGGUAACCUGCCUGGUAACGGGGGAUAACUAUUGGAAACGAUAGCUAAUACCGCAUAAGAGCAGAUGUUGCAUGACAUUUACUUAAAAGGUGCAAUUGCAUCACUACCAGAUGGACCUGCGUUGUAUUAGCUAGUUGGUGGGGUAACGGCUUACCAAGGCGACGAUACAUAGCCGACCGGCGAGGGUGAGCGGCCACACUGGGACUGAGACACGGCCCAGACUCCUACGGGUGGCAGCAGUAGUGAAUCUUCGGCAAUGGACGGAAGUCUGACCGAGCAACGCCGCGUGAGUGAAGAAGGUUUUCGGAUCGUAAAGCUCUGUUGUAAGAGAAGAACGAGUGUGAGAGUGGAAAGUUCACACUGUGACGGUAUCUUACCAGAAAGGGACGGCUAACUACGUG
rnacentral:rRNA from 1 species